AAAUAGAACCUGAAACCGUGUGCUUACAAGAAGUCAGAGCCCAAUCUAUGGGUGAUGGCGUGCCUUUUGUAGAAUGAACCGGCGAGUUACGUUUGCAAGCAAGGUUAAGGCCUAAAGGCUGGAGCCGCAGCGAAAGCGAGUCUGAAUAGGGCGACUUAGUUUGUAGGCGUAGACCCGAAACCGUGUGAUCUACCCCUGUCCAGGGUGAAGGUGCGGUAACACGCACUGGAGGCCCGAACCCACGUA
rnacentral:rRNA from 1 species